AGCCAAGUUGGUUUUUGUCCUAAAUGUCUGAGUUACGUUUGAUUAUAUGAAACACACUUGCUUUGUUUGUACCCAGUUUACUGAGCAAUCUAGAUUACUCUGUGUUAGCAUCUAAUCAAUCUCCUAAUAUUAUUAAUAAUUAUUUUAAGCACUUUCCCAUGGUGAUUGAUAAAACCAUUAGUACAGGAUUGGGCUGGACCUCUCUUGAGACAGUGGAUUGGUGAUUAAUUAUUUAUCAGUUAAACUUCUAAUCUUUUCAGGCAGUUUUAAAAGGUCUGAAAGGGCCUAUUUUUUAGAACAUAAUACUGACUAUUUUACUCUUCUUGCAUUCUUGAUUCAAGUUCAUAUUAACCAUUUUAUUAUUUUGCUUGUGUUCAUGGUGUGUGUUUACCUUUGAUAGUUGCUGUUUGACAUAAUCUGUAAUUUGAAUUGGGGAUAAACCAAACAGUAAAAUAGUGGGGGCGAGGAGGAAGAUAAAAAAAAAGAUUUCCAUCUACUGAUAGGCCAACCUGCCACUGUGAUGUCCUGUCUUCCUGGUGCAAACAUACUCUACCUAAAGACAGAAGAGAAGCUAAGGGUCAUCAUACGUCACUCAGUAGAGGCUACGGAGUUGCUCAAAUCCAUGCAUUUGCUGAAGAGUUUAACUCACUGGCAUGACUAGUUUAUGGGCAUAUGGUUUUUAAAUAUAAGGAUAUAGUAAUAUUAAAUUUAUCUGCCUGGCUGAUUGAUACUGGAAUUAUUUUACCUUUAUUGCAGUGUUAUGUGAAAUGUUUCUUGUGUACUCCUUUUGUAUUGACUUAAAGGCCACAGUCAUGCGAUUUUUCAAUAUGAUCAACUCUCCUGACUCCUUUUAGAGCUUUAUCAGCUCCAGGAAACCUUCAGGAAAAUGCAGGGCUGACUUGCUUGCAGAACUGGAAUUUACACUCAUGAAACUCUUUGCAGCUUCCCUGGGGGAAGGACAUUAAAGUAACAUAAGGCUUUGCUUGCUGAAAUGUAGCAUGGGUCAGCCUCUCUGACUGGCAUCCCAACCAAAAUCGAAACAUUUGAAUUCCCUCCGCUUGUUUGGGAGAUGGGUUUCCUUUUCACUGUGUGCUCAGAACCAUCAUGGAUGAGUGUUCAGGGAAUCCAGAAGUUUGGAAAAUAGCAUUUUAAUUUAUGCUUUUUGUUGCUAAUGUCUCUUAUAAAAAGUUUUAAAGAGGAAGACCAGUGUUAGCAAAUAAUGACUUCCUUUGGGUCACCCUCUGAAAAGGCUGCAGAAAACUGGUGAUAGAUGCCUAUUUUUAAUGGCAUACAGUAAAAAUUUGAUUUCUUAAUGAAAAGAGAGGAAACAGCCCCCAUCUGCAGAGAGCUGAUAAAAAGGAAUUCUCCCCAGCCUGUCGCCUUUCUCAUAAGUGAGUCCAGUUUUCUUCUGUGGCAUGUUUUUUCUCACCAAACUAAGUAGCAUUUCCAGUUGAUUUCUGGUAACUUCAAGUCUAUUAAAAAGUUAUAUGAUUUAUUCCUAAUAUUGUCAGCUUUUCUACGGGAAAAAGUCUUGUUUUCAUUUUCAUUUGUUUGAUUUCUGUGCAAACAGCUCACUUAAAUUCCAUGUGUAUCUAGAAAAUAGUUCUAAAAAAGCUGCAUUUUUUGUAGCCCCCAUGUGAUUUCUAAACCUUGCUAUUUGUAAGAUCAAUACAUUUCGAGAAAGAUUACUGAGUAAACUUCACCCUGGUACUAGAGGACAGCUCUGUAGCCAGAACUGUUAAAAAGUGUAUCAUAUAUGGGUUAUAGCUGGAUUUUAAUACUUCAUAUAGUUCAGUAAGUAACUAGCUUGAAAACAAAAAGGUUUUACAAAAUUAACCAUAUGUCAUUGCACACUUCAUUUUACUUUAUAGAGUUGUGUUCUACUUCCUGUGGUCUACUUAAAUAAAUCUAUGUAUACCUCUGAGUUGUCACCACAUUUGAAAGACUCCCCCUACUGACAAUUGCAAUGCUUUUCUUCAUGUAACUACAUUUGCAAGAAAAAAGAGCAUUUUAAAGAACAAAUCCAGUACCUUUCCCCAAAAGUCCUCCUCACUUGGGUGCCUUGCUGAAAAAAAGAGCUGUUAAUAUUGUUAACUCAGAGGAAGCAAAAUGAAAGUAGCUCGGGCAACCUAACAUAGCUAUAAAACUCUAAUCGAGAGCAAGUACCAGGCACGUGGGAAAAAGUUAAUUUCUCCUUGUUGGAGGGGCUGAUUCUCCCUUGUCUGAUUUCAGUGUACGUCGGAAAUGACGUCGAUGGAAUUGCCCCAUUGAAAAGCAUCUGUAUCACAGUUACCACAUGGGGAGAACAAAUCACAGAUCAGGGGCGCACUGUACAUGGAGAGUGCAUUGCAGAGGGAAUCAUCUUCAGGAUCCCCACAAAGGCUGAAAACUGUUGGAGUGACUGGAAUAAAAGCAAGGCAGACCCAAGGAUCCGUACCUCUUACACAAGAUUCAACAGCAUUUUAAUCUCUUGCAGUCAGCUAGCAAAGCAUGCCAUGGGUGUGGUUCCUUGAAAAGCUGGGGCAAUGAACCUUGAGGUGGACUACUUUGAAGCCAGAAAUGAUACACAGUGACCACAAGUGUGAUGCAACAGGAAUACAGAAACUAUGUCUUAGCUCUUUCUUGCUCAGUUACAGCUGUACAGUAGGUAAGUACCUUUAUAAAAGUUUUGGUGGGCAUUGGUUCAGCUAUGCUAUUUCCAAAGUUC